ensembl:lincRNA C030034L19Rik RIKEN cDNA C030034L19 gene
CUUCCCCUUUGUUUCCCUCAGUGAUGCUAGGGUCUUGAAACUCAGCCCAGUACAAUCAUUGGUGUUUGAGCUGGCAACUGGGGGUCUAAUUGCCAACUAAGAUGGAUAUCUCUGGCUCUGGAGAAACAGCUGGGAUAGGACAAUGUUGCUUCUCUGCGGCAGGCAGCUCAUGAUGCAAAUGCCGAGUUUGGACCAAUAGGAUUCAAACCUUGGUGGCUGCCUCCAGCAUGCACUCUUUGCACUGCUCUGCUUCCUCCUGCCACUCUGGUGACAUUUGCGUGGAGGUCAAUGCCACAGCUGAUGUGGGUGGUGGAAAUCCUACGGACAAGAGCAAAGACAGCACCUUGUCCACCAGAGUCCAUGGCAGUGUGCUCCUGAACAUGCCACUAAAGCAAACCACACAUCGUGGCCAGCUUUUCCUCCCUUAGAGGAUGCUGUGUAUAAUAAACAGCAUCCAGACUGAGGAACUACAACAAGGAACAGCAAGGCUUUUUGUUCCCAAUUACAUUCAGAGGAAGCCUCACCAUGUCUAUGGAUGCCCAGCAGGCUCUUCACCUGUGGCUCAAACCUCAAUCAGCUUUAGGGCAGCUACGAACAGACAGUCCCUCUGCCACACCUCAUGGAAGUCGUCUGCCUGUCCAGCUGAACACGGAUUUGUUUUGAAAUGACACGGAGAGUUACAUAAAGAAAAACUUGUUCUGACAAGAAAAGACUUGAGGAGAUAAAAAUCCUCCUGGUCUCGGGGUUCUCCAGAUCUCUUCCCACAGCAUCCUUGUCUCCCUGAGGAAAUGAGUAGUAUUUACAGUAUUCUGCUGCUAUGCUCAACAGAUUCUUGUAUGUACAGUUCUCACCUCUUUUCUCAGAACCUUCUCCGGUGAAUGCCACCUUUGUCUUGCAGGGCAGCUGAAGUGAGAGAUGAAACAGACUCUUUUAUAGGGGCUCACUACUCACUUUAAGCCCAGGGCUUCUGGCAAAGUGUGACGUACUUGUUCUUGGAUACCAGAGAUGGCAGACUCCAAAUCUUGUCAUCUUCAAUUGCAAUGGGGAACAAUUUGGCUUCAAAUAAUUUUUCCAACAUACAUGAAGUCUGAAGGAAUUUUUGGAGAGCUCAACAGUAAUGUUUUUCUCUAGAGAUGAUCGUCCUUUAUAGCUUGGUCAUGGGAGGUUCAUAAGGGAGCCUCCUGGACAUGGUACUAUCAACGUGCACGAGAGGUCCACUCUGGUUUGGAAACCCACUGUCUUCUUCCUGGCGCUAGCUUUUGCUAAUCCAGAGAACCUAACUUCCCAGACAUAAGGUGGCAGGUGAGCCUGAUGGAUAGUUCCUGGCCGAAGCAGCUCCUGUCUUGUGUCAGACAUCUACAGCAGACAUGGAGGAGUCCUAGCUGAGCAGCCCAAGAAGAUGAGCAGAAGAUAGGGGUGUGCAGGUCUCCCGCACUGCCCCCUUGACACAUAUGCUACCUGGGGGUUUCUCCACGUUAUCUCACAGAUUUUCACAAAAUAAGUGUCCAUAUUCCAGGAAGGCUAAGGCUGGAAACUAUUGCCUGUUGCACACAUUGCUUCCUAGCUGGCUGGAGAAUGUCCUGCUAGUCACUGUGACAUGCUUUUUCCGGGAGAAAUGAGAAACCUUUUUUGUAAGAAUGGGCAUCAUGGAAGAAGAAGAACUAGACAUUUCCAUGGACAAGAAUUCAUUACAUCACUGCUCCUUUGACAGACAGGGCUGGAAGCCCUGGGGUGCACAGAGCCUCAGGCUAGCAGCCAGCUCACCAACUCUCAUGCUUUCUGUUUCUCCACAAAAUGAAGACACAAAAAGAACUUAGUUUCAUGGACAUGGCAUGAAAUGAAAAGUCAGGCUUCAUUUGGCACUUUGUUUGGGUCCCCAAAUAACAAAAUAACUACUUAAGAAAUGUAACUCACACAAAAAGUAACUCAUAUAAUCAGUUAACUGUAUGUUGCAAUUCAGAGCUUCCGGUCCCUGGCAUUACACCCUUCCACACAGGGAAUGGGCAUGUGUCCAGAGCUGCACUCAGGAUUUGCCUGCACCUUGGAAGCCAGAUAAGGAAAUGUUCAGUGCCUAAGGCUGGCCUGGAGAUGAGGGCCCUAGGUGGGCUGGGGAUGCACACGAGCUGGCACGAUGGAGGUUUCUGAGAAAACGAGGGACUCAGGUCAGGUGCAUUUGGUGUCACGAUUGUGCUGACAAUAUGCAGCUAAGCGGGCUCAGACCUGCCCUUAGGCUGUGUUUCUGGGGGCGACAGCUCAGCACCUAAGGACUGCUCUCUCUCACACAGACGACAGCAUUCCUUCACCUCCAAGUUCUUCAAGAGAAGGUGGAUUGAAUUUCACAUCACUUUAAUGUUUUGAUUAAAGUUUUCAUCUGAGAUUUUAAAAAUUAAGGGAGCUUUGCUGAGGAGAAAACCCUCUAGCCUAGGAUCCAUCUGUUAUUUAAGCACAUGGUGAACUUGACCAAACAGUUGAUGUCUCAAUCUCCACGUUGCUCAGGGCCUCUUGGAGCAGCUAGAACACCAUUUCAGGGAGUGAGGCUACAGGAGAUAAGGAGAGGACAUGCCCAGGGGAAAGAAAUCUAGCUCUGGACUUUAAAAGCAAAAAGUUGUUUCCUGGUUGCAGGUAAAAGCAUCUGGAACAGGUGGUAUGGCUGAUGUUGGUUAUCAACCUACAGGGAAAUCAGAGAAAGCUUUCUCUUUUCUCUUGAAGUAAGUGUUUUGUUUUCCUUUUAAGUAUCCAAAGGAAAAGAUCAGCAUCUCUUUCCCGUUUUCCUUGAUUUCCGUGGUAAAAAGCCACAUGAAUUUAAAAAAUAAAAUUGCC